AGCUUUGGAAAAGAUACUGGCCGAUCGAGAUGUCAAGAGAUCGCACCUCUCGCAGCUCAGGAAGUCCUGCGAGUCUGCGCUCGGCUGACGAUAAAUAUCGCGGGCUCGCUAUGUCGGCCUGAAGGGGUUAAUUCGCAUUCGCUCCGUAUUUAGGGACGAGGACUCGCCGUCGUCGAUGACGCUCAAGUCGCCCAAGUGCCGUCUUUGAGGAUGCCGAGCGUCGUUCCUCGAGGGAAGAUUGGUCGCCAUUGAAACGCCAACGUCUUAGAUUGUACGAAAGCGUGCUGGUUCAGUGACAUAUUGUUUUUUAAUUCAGUUGUCAAACCAAAAUGAGACAUUAGUCGUUAAGCUGGGGUUCAGUCCGGAAUUCCUGUUACGUUGCUCACUACAGUUGCUAAUAAUUUACGUAAUUCCAGUAUUAACAUAGUGACUGCUCAUUAGGUUUUACAUUUAUUUCUGUAUUACGAUCGCAGAGACGUUAUUGACAACUUAGAAAGUUCAAUUUUAUGCAAAAGCUUGAGAAAGUUUGAGUAGCAAACAAGUGAGAUGAGCGAGUUCAGGGGAGGUAAAGGGGAGACUUUGUAAGAUGAUCAAUGUAUUUAAACGAUGUUUGAUGCAACUGUGAUAGUUUAUAGACUUGCGAAUCUGUAAACUGUGAUAGUUUAUAGAUCAUUAAACAAUUCAUCUCAUUGUGAUUACUCUCUCUUUCACGCAUAGCAAAACUUCUCAAAGAUUUCAUUUCCCACUGUGCAUAUAUGAGAAUAAUUUCUUCGAGAAAUUUUUAUAAUAAUUUCGGUGAAUAUCGAUGAGAUAAUCAGGCGUUCCUGUAUAAGGAAUGGUUUCGCAUAAUGUUCCAAAUAAUGAAUAAUAUAAUGCGUUAUUAUUGUAAACGAUAUUAGAUGUGUAAUCGAGAAAGAUUUUAACAGAGAUUUUAAGCAAUUGGUAAACACUCGAACUUACGGUCUCUCUUUUUUCUCGACUCUCGUAUAUUCCUAAUCUUCAAAGCUUCUUCUGUCCCCGAGUACAAUACAAAAGUAAAUUUGUAGACAUUUUUUAUUGACAUAUAAAAUAUCUUAAAUAUUUAAUUGUAUUCAAUGGAGCGUGCUGAUGUUUGCUCACAGUUGGCGCAAUUCCAGUAUUAAUAUAGCAAUCGCAGCUUUAUUCCUUAUUACUUUUUAUGUAUUACACUCGUAGAAUGUUAUCGAAAAGCUUUGUCGUCCGUCACAAGCUUGAAGAGUCAAGAUUCGAAGAACAUUGUGCUCUGUCGCCUGUUAAAUCUAUAAAAUUCGACAGAAGUGCGCGCUGUCAAGGGUCAAGUUGAAAUAUGCGACCUUAACUCAUUAUCGCGAUUAUCAGCGGGUCGCUAAUUUCGUCGUGGCGCUUCUUCGUCGUUGCAGCACUCGUUCUGGGCUGGCCCUAGUCCAGAGCUUGCGCGCAAGCCGCUAAGAAAAUAAUUCACGAUUGCCGCUAAGGUCAGCCGUCAGCGGGCUUUUAAGUCAGUCGGUCAGUCGAGCCUCGCGAUUGAUUGGCCGUCGAUCGGGAUUAUUAUUUGUCAUCAGGGGAAGAGUUAAAAGGGACGAGAGAUGCCGGACGCGAAGAAAAGAGUAUGCAUCGUCGGUAGCGGCAAUUGGGGCUCGGCGAUCGCAAAGAUCGUCGGGGCGAAUGCCAUGAAGUACAACAACAUAUUUGAGACUCGAGUGACAAUGUAUGUAUACGAGGAGAUCAUCAACAACGAGAAAUUGACCAGCAUAAUCAACACCAUUCACGAGAACGUCAAAUAUCUGCCCGGUCACAAAAUUCCGGAAAAUAUGGUCGCCGUACCUGACGUGGAAGCAGCGAAGGACGCCGACAUCCUCAUCUUCGUUUUGCCACAUCAGUUUAUUCGCACCUUGUGCUCAACGCUGCUGGAUAACAUAAAGCCAACUGCAGUCGGCCUUUCUCUCAUUAAGGGCUUUGGCCGAGGCGAAGGAAACAGUAUCGAGUUGAUCUCCAAGAUCAUCGAAAAGAACCUGAGGAUACAGUGCAAUGUUCUGAUGGGCGCUAAUCUGGCCAAUGAAGUCGCCGAAGAGAAAUUCUGCGAAACUACGAUCGGUGCCGUUUCAACCGCUUGUAUGACAGUCGUUCGCACUUCAUGCUCGACUUCCUGCGCAAAUUUAUUCAACUGGAACACCAACAACAAUUGUUUCUGCACAAGUUUUCUUUACGGUCUUGAAUUAUAAAGUUCACCAGCAACAUUUCUGCCGCGCAUUUUAUCUAUACACUUGAAACGGAGAGACGUACCUCUUCAAUCGCCGCUUGUUGCUUGAAGAUUCGCAGGACCUGAAAAGAAUUAUCACAAAAGUAAGUAAAUAAAAUGAGCAAAGUAUAAUCCUAAUAGAGCUUACAAUUGUUACUUAAUAAAACAUGCUUUUAAAUGUAGGCGAAAAUAUUUUGUUGCCCAUUUACUGUAUUUACAUUUGUGCAACAAAUGUAUAAACAUUAAAAGAUGUAAGGU